GCUUGCUUCAGCAACACAUAUACUAGAAUUGGAACGAUACCGAGAGGAUUGGCCUGGCCUUUGUGCAAGGGUAACACGCAAAUUUGUGAAGUGUCCCAUAUUUUC
rfam:Otolemur garnettii contig091108, whole genome shotgun sequence.